rnacentral:rRNA from 1 species
GGAAUUCGAUUCCUACGGGAGGCAGCAGUAGGGAAUCUUCCGCAAUGGGCGAAAGCCUGACGGAGCAACACCGCGUGAGUGAUGAAGGUCUUCGGGUCGUAAAACUCUGUUAUUAGGGAAGAACAAAUGUGUAAGUAACUAUGCACGUCUUGACGGUACCUAAUCAGAAAGCCACGGCUAACUACGUGCCAGCAGCCGCGGUAAUACGUAGGUGGCAAGCGUUAUCCGGAAUUAUUGGGCGUAAAGCGCGCGUAGGCGGUUUUUUAAGUCUGAUGUGAAAGCCCACGGCUCAACCGUGGAGGGUCAUUGGAAACUGGAAAACUUGAGUGCAGAAGAGGAAAGUGGAAUUCCAUGUGUAGCGGUGAAAUGCGCAGAGAUAUGGAGGAACGCCAGUGGCGAAGGCGACUUUCUGGUCUGUAACUGACGCUGAUGUGCGAAAGCGUGGGGGAUCAAACAGGAA